AACGGAUCUCUUGGCUCUCGCAUCGAUGAAGAACGCAGCGAAUUGCGAUAAGUAAUGUGAAUUGCAGAUUUUCAGUGAAUCAUCGAAUCUUUGAACGCACCUUGCGCUCCUUGGUAUUCCGAGGAGCAUGCCUGUUUGAGUGUCAU
rnacentral:rRNA from 1 species